UACGUAGGGUGCAAGCGUUGUCCGGAAUUAUUGGGCGUAAAGAGCUCGUAGGCGGUCUGUCGCGUCUGCUGUGAAAACUCGGGGCUUAACCCCGGGCCUGCAGUGGGUACGGGCAGACUAGAGUGCGGUAGGGGAGACUGGAGUUCCUGGUGUAGCGGUGAAAUGCGCAGAUAUCAGGAGGAACACCGAUGGCGAAGGCAGGUCUCUGGGCCACUACUGACGCUGAGAAGCGAAAGCAUGGGGAGCGAACAGG
rnacentral:rRNA from 1 species